UCACCCCUCAAGCCCCCGGCUUGGUGUUGGACGGUUUGGUUUUGGCGACAAGACCCCUCCUAAAGCUAAUGACGGCGGCCUGUGCGACCCCCGGUACACUGAGCUUCUUAACUGAGCACGUACUGGUUCCAGGGUCAACGGGGCCCGGUCUUCUUCCUUGACCGGAAAAUUUUUCCAAA
rnacentral:misc_RNA from 1 species